CUAUGACUCUUUGCCGUGUUCGAGGAAGUUCUCUUUUCUGUUCACGGGGAAACAAUGAAAAGAGAAGUGUAAAAGAUGGGAAUUCCAAUACAGCCUGAAUUUGCAUGCUACCUUCAAGAAUAGCUGCUCAUGGUGGUCAGGUGGGAGGAAGUGGCCAUGAGACUUGGACAACAGGGGUUCACCCAUUCCUUUCUUGCUUUACUCUGCUCACCAGCAACUUCCUCUGCUUUUGCCUGUGCUGAAAUGCAUAUGCAAUCGCGGAAACUCUCCAGAUCGCUACUCUCCAGGGCCGACAAACGCAACUUUGGUCUAUAGAAGAAAAAGGAAACUUUUCUACAAAGGCUGGCAUCUCUGUGCAGAAGAGAGAUUUCACUUCCCCCAGAAAGAGCGUUCCAGCCUGGUUCCAUAACAUAUUUGGUUACCUGACUGGGAAAUCCAACUGCGCUGGCCCAUUGUUGACACUGGUUUGGAAGAAUGGCGAGGCAGUGACAGAGUGAGGAAUCUCAAAGGAGAAGGCAUGCCCUGCCUGAAUUUCAGCAGUCUCCUAUUCGUCUCCUCGGGUUAGCCCUGCUGCAUCGUUCAUGCUGGACUCAAAGAGACCUGGUAGGUGAAGACCUGGACCUGACAUCAGAACUGCCCUUAAAGUUUCCGGUAUCACCCCAUGGGUCCAUCAUUCCAGAGUUAAGAAGGCCAACUCAGAAGAACCCACAACCUGGCAAAGUGAUCCAGAUCCAGCCAACCCACUUAAACUGACCCUCAAAAGGGACACUGGCCCCUGAGACCUCCAGCCCUGCUCCAGCCACACCCCAGAAGCUGGCUGGCCUGCGCAUGGCAGAUGCUUAAGGAAUUAAUGCGUGAACCAAGCCCAGGGGUUUGGAUGCAACUCUGCCAGACCUUGCCCCUUACUGAUGUCAUAGCCCUGAUCUUACUUCUUACUGUUGGGCUGAUAGAGACUGCACCAACGAGCUGGAUGUGGGACAAAAGAUGCAUGCUGGGUCUCACAUGCCUCUUCUGGAUGAGAGGAUUAUUAAGUAUUGCCUGCAUAUUAUGAUAACCUCUCUCACCCUCACAACUGCUGCUUACCUGCUUUUCUCCCAGGAUUGUUAUAUUACAAAACGGGGGUCAAGGGCAUUCAGCACCUUCACCUCCCUCCACAAAGAUUGCUACAAGGGAAAAACACCCACUGUCUGUCAGUCACCUGGUGCCCCGAGGACUAAGUAUUGGACCAUAGAGAUAACCCAAAAUGUCAGGAACCCAUGUCACAACAAGGCCUCCAGAAAGGGAAGUGAGCUUGCUACACUUACCUUCCUCAAUGGGGGAUCUUGGAUGGGGAAGGAAUGCAAGAUAGUGCUCUUCAAAAAGUUAUAAAGGAUACCCAGGAUAGGGUAAUAUAAGCCAUAAAGGCGACCACUCCCCUGGCAGCCUACCAGGGUUUGAAACUUUCAGCCCUUAAUCAGAUGCUUACCAAUUCCCCACUCCAGCAUUGGGCCAAAACUACUCUACAAGUCUUCCAUAAAACAGAUAAUCAUGCCCAAACCUGCUGGAUGUGCUUGCCCUUCAGUUGGAGGGCUUACUUAGCCACUCCCAUCCUCCCUUUGACCUGAGAAGCUCCUGAAAAUCUCAAAACCAACACUUCUGUCUUAAUUGGACCCUUGGCCACUGGGGUCUGUCUCACAAAUGCCAACAAUCUAAUCUGUACAGUCCUUGAAGGUAUGAACGGUACCUCUCUAUGUGGAAGAAAUAGAACCUUAAAGAGGAAUGCAACCCUGUGUUCAACCCCUGGGGUGUUCUAUCUGUGUUCUAAUUUGGCCUACCAAUGCUUAGAGGCCAACUGGACUCAGAUAUGUUAUUCCAUUUUCCUAACCCCAGAGGUAUCCGUAUACACUGAAGAUCAGUUCCUAACAGCCUUUAGCCCCAAAUCCCAGGCUAAACAGGCAAUCCUGCUGCCUGUUCUGAUAGGAGCAGGAAUUGUGACAGGAAUAGGAACCGGAUUAGGGGGCAUAGGUUCAUCCAUAGGACUAAACAAUAGACUAUCUCAAGAGCUACAUGAAGACAUGGAACGAGUGGCAGAUUCUCUGGUAACCUUACAAAGCCAAAUAAACUAUCUGGCGGCAGUGACCCUCCAAAAUAGGCAAGCCCUCGACCUCCUCACUUCAGAAAAAGGAGGGACUUGCAUCUUUCUAGGGAGAGAAAUGUUGCUGUUUUGUAAUAGUUACAACUAAGGUUAAGGAACUCAAGGAAAGAAUUCAAUGUAGACAACAGGAAAGUAUCAGUCAAUGGAAUGGAUGGGAUCUCAUGGAUUGGGCAUCCUGGCUUCCUGCCCUGGUGGGGUCCCUUCUCUCCAUAAUUUUACUUGUAUCCAUCAGCCCCUGAAUGCCAUGGUAUGUUUUAUUGAAAACACUGUUGCUCGUCAAACUACUGCAUGUAUCUUACCCUUCUGAGAGUACCAACCUGUAAAACUAAAAGGUGAUGCCUACUAAAAGUUUUUUUUUAAAGGAAUCAAAGGGGGGAAUGUUGGAGAAAUGAAUAAAGUACAACCAAGAUGGCCAAUGGGACUAAAACAAGCUCUGAUCUCUAGCUUAGAGACCCCUCUUCUGGGUUCUUCUUGCUCCGUUUGCCGCGCACACGAAAACCCGCCACAGAUAUAGAAGCUGACAACUAUAAAUUACCCUUCCCACUUGCAUUCAGUGCUCAGAUCUUUGGAGAA